UCAGGGGGCUGAGGCAGCCGCGUUAUCGAGAAGAUACCGAGGAAAGUCCGGGCUCCACGAAGCAAGGGUGGCGGGUAACGCCCGCCGGGCAGGCGUUUCGGCGCAGGCUCAGGGAAAGUGCCACAGAGAGUAUACCGCCGAUGGCGCCUAAAGCGCACAGGCAAGGGUGAAAGGGUGCGGCAAGAGCGCACCGGGGCUCUGGCAACAGUGUCCGCAUGGCAAACCCCACCCGGAGCAAGGCCAAAUAGGGGCCUCGCGCCUGUCUUUCGGGGCAGGCAGUGGCGCUUCGCCGCGAGAGGCCCGGGUUGGCUGCUUGAGCCGUUCGGCAACGGACGGCCUAGACGAAUGGCUGCCACCGCAGCGCUGGUCGCAAGAUACCGGUUGCGGAGACAGAACCCGGCUUAUGAGGCCCCUGACGCA
rnacentral:RNase_P_RNA from 1 species